rnacentral:rRNA from 1 species
GGGAGGCAGCAGUGGGGAAUUUUGCGCAAUGGGCGAAAGCCUGACGCAGCAACGCCGCGUGCGGGAUGAAGGCCUUCGGGUUGUAAACCGCUUUCAGCAGGGACGAAAUUGACGGUACCUGCAGAAGAAGCCCCGGCUAAAUACGUGCCAGCAGCCGCGGUAAUACGUAUGGGGCAAGCGUUAUCCGGAUUCAUUGGGCGUAAAGAGCGCGUAGGUGGCUUGUUAAGCGAGAUGUGAAAACCGGGGGCUCAACCCGCGGCCUGCAUCUCGAACUGGCAGGCUUGAGUCUGGUAGAGGAGUGUGGAAUUCCUAGUGUAGCGGUGAAAUGCGCAGAUAUUAGGAGGAACACCAGUGGCGAAGGCGGCACUCUGGGCCACGACUGACACUGAGGCGCGAAAGCUAGGGGAGCAAACAGGAUUAGAUACCCGCGUAGUCCA